UACGUAGGUGGCGAGCGUUGUCCGGAUUUACUGGGCGUAAAGAGCGCGCAGGCGGUCGUACAAGUCGCGUGUGAAAGCCCCCGGCUCAACUGGGGAGGGUCACGCGAUACUGUUCGACUCGAAGGCAGGAGAGGGUAGUGGAAUUCCCGGUGUAGUGGUGAAAUGCGUAGAUAUCGGGAGGAACACCAGUGGCGAAGGCGGCUUUCUGGACGACAACUGACGCUGAGACGCGAAAGCGUGGGGAGCAAACAGG
rnacentral:rRNA from 1 species